GAUAAACGCUGGCGGCGUGCCUAAUACAUGCAAGUCGAGCGAACAGACGAGGAGCUUGCUCCUCUGAUGUUAGCGGCGGACGGGUGAGUAACACGUGGAUAACCUACCUAUAAGACUGGGAUAACUUCGGGAAACCGGAGCCAAUACCGGAUAACAUGUUGAACCGCAUGGUUCAACAGUGAAAGACGGUCUUGCUGUCACUUAUAGAUGGAUCCGCGCCGCAUUAGCUAGUUGGUAAGGUAACGGCUUACCAAGGCAACGAUGCGUAGCCGACCUGAGAGGGUGAUCGGCCACACUGGAACUGAGACACGGUCCAGACUCCUACGGGAGGCAGCAGUAGGGAAUCUUCCGCAAUGGGCGAAAGCCUGACGGAGCAACGCCGCGUGAGUGAAGAAGGUCUUCGGAUCGUAAAACUCUGUUAUUAGGGAAGAACAAAUGUGUAAGUAACUAUGCACGUCUUGACGGUACCUAAUCAGAAAGCCACGGCUAACUACGUG
rnacentral:rRNA from 1 species